GCCUUAGUAACGGCGAGUGAAGCGGCAACAGCUCAAAUUUGAAAGCUGGCCCUUUCAGGGUCCGCGUUGUAAUUUGUAGAGGAUGAUUCGGCGAGGGCUCCCGCCUAAGUCCCCUGGAACGGGGCGUCAUAGAGGGUGAGAAUCCCGUAUGCGGUGGGCUGCCUUAGCCAUGUGAAUCUCCUUCGACGAGUCGAGUUGUUUGGGAAUGCAGCUCUAAAUGGGAGGUAAAUUUCUUCUAAAGCUAAAUACCGGCCAGAGACCGAUAGCGCACAAGUAGAGUGAUCGAAAGAUGAAAAGCACUUUGGAAAGAGAGUUAAAAAGUACGUGAAAUUGUUGAAAGGGAAGCGCUUGCAACCAGACUUGUCCGCAGUUGCUCAGCCGGUCUCCUGACCGGCGUACUCUUCUGCGGCCAGGCCAGCAUCAGUUCGGGCGGUCGGAUAAAGACCUCGGGAAUGUGGCUCCUCUCGGGGAGUGUUAUAGCCCGGGGUGGAAUGCGGCCAGCCUGGACUGAGGAUCUCGCUUCGGCAAGGAUGCUGGCGUAAUGGUUGUAAGCGGCCCGUCUUGAAACACGGACCAAGGAGUCUAACAUCUAUGCGA
rnacentral:rRNA from 1 species